rnacentral:lncRNA from 1 species
CGCCCAAGGCUCUGGACACCUUUCGCCACACGCCACGCCCUUCGCCAUAGUGCCAAUAAGGCACGGCGUCAAGGGCUGUGGGCGAAGAGGUUUCGCCACACCCACGCCCUUCGCCAUAGUGCCAAUAAGGCACGGCGUCAAGGGCUGCGGGCGAAGAGGUUUCGCCCACCCACGCCCUUCGCCAUAGUGCCAAUAAGGCACGGCUACCCGCGAGGUACGGCAACAAGGGCUGGGGGCGAAAUACCCGCGAGGUACGGCGACAAGGGCUGGGGGCGAAAGUAUGUUAAGUCCAAGCUGGGGGGCUACGAAGCCGCCCAAGCCUCUGGACACCUUUCGCUACACGCCAUGCCCUUCGCCAGAGUACCAAUAAGGUACGACGUCAAGGGCUGCGGGCGAACAGGUUUCGCCCACCCACGCCUUUCGCCAUAG